GACGAACGCUGGCGGCGUGCUUAACACAUGCAAGUCGAACGAAGAGCGACGGAAGCUUGCUUCUAUCAAUCUUAGUGGCGAACGGGUGAGUAACGCGUAAUCAACCUGCCCUUCAGAGGGGGACAACAGUUGGAAACGACUGCUAAUACCGCAUACGAUCUAACCUCGGCAUCGAGGAUAGAUGAAAGGUGGCCUCUACAUGUAAGCUAUCACUGAAGGAGGGGAUUGCGUCUGAUUAGCUAGUUGGAGGGGUAACGGCCCACCAAGGCGAUGAUCAGUAGCCGGUCUGAGAGGAUGAAUGGCCACAUUGGGACUGAGACACGGCCCAGACUCCUACGGGAGGCAGCAGUGGGGAAUCUUCCGCAAUGGACGAAAGUCUGACGGAGCAACGCCGCGUGAGUGAUGACGGCCUUCGGGUUGUAAAGCUCUGUUAAUCGGGACGAAAGGCCUUCUUGCGAAUAGUGAGAAGGAUUGACGGUACCGGAAUAGAAAGCCACGGCUAACUACGUG
rnacentral:rRNA from 1 species